UUCAGAUUCGAUCGAAAAGUAAUUAAGAAAGUUUUUUAAGAAACUUAUUAAUUGUCUAACGUUUUAUAAAUAACACUAUUAACUAUCACUGGGUGAGAACACGAUCGAACACGUUUUUUUUUCAUAACUCUUAGUACGAAAUGAAGCCACGUAUGAAGAUUAUCUUCCAGAAACGUGUCGCACUUUCGUGACGGCAAGUACACGGCACACGUAGAUGACGUCAGACACCUUCGACCGGCGAGCCUUUUCGCUACAAAAACAGUUUUCUAUCUUAUCGACGCGUCGUCGUUGCGUCCUCUCAACGAAGAACUAAAACGUCUUUUCUUUUUCUCGAAUCGAACUUGGCGCGAAUUUUUACAACAAAAAUCUUUUAUAUAUAUCUCUUAUUCGUCUUAUUUAUUUUAAUCGAUUUAAUUAUAUCAAUUCGCAAUAUCAUUACGUUUGUCUAUAACUUCUUGUAAUAAUAAUGAUUGUUGAUUGGUCCGUUGCAAUAGAGAAUAUUUUUGAACAACGUAGUAAAAGUAUAAACAAAAGAACUACGCUUAAUUACGCCGAACUUCGCGAUCGUUUUUUGUUUUAACGUUCGAUCGGAAAAUUCGUUUUAAUCGUCGUUGUCGUGACCAUUUUUUUUUCUUGCGUUUCUUGUGAUAAGAAUUCGUUUCUUCGUUUGUUUAAACAGUGUACAUUUUUCCGUAGGAAGAUUCAAAUCGUUCCAAUAAUCUUAUGAAGCUCAAAUAUAUGCCGUAGUUCCUGUUAGCAGUGGCUUCUGUCCAUUAGUUGGAUAAGAUCUUCAGGCCGUUGAAUUGGACCUUUACUCUCCCGACCCCAAUUUGUAUCUUUCUUCCCAUCAUCUUGGUACCUUGGUACCAGCUCCGAGCUUUGUCGGUAUGCGAAAAAUGAUGCUGGAAUUUUGCUGAUAGGAUCGCAGCAUCGAAUGAACGAAGUUUAAGGCAUGAAUCGGAUCCCCGACGGUUCAUCCUGAAUGAAACGAGAAGGCGAGCUAUUAGUGUCCUGCGUGGCCAGUUGAAUGAGAAGGGCCGCCCUUUUUUGAUCUUUACAAGAGAAGCGUACAGGUUGCACCCCGUAGAGAAAGCCGCGGGCCCGUUUUACGCAGGUUGCUACAUACAGAGAGAAGAAACGGUCCUAUCGUCAUCCGAUACUAAUUGCCUUGGUCUAACUCGUACUGGGACCCUUUAUUGGGCCGAUCUUUUAAAGAAGAAGAAAAAAGGGAAAAAAGACCUUACAUUUUCCUUUUGAGAGAAAAAAAGAAAGAAAGAAAGAGAAAGAGAGAAAUAUAUAGGUACAUCUAUCGGUAUUGCGAGACUAUUCUUAUCUUUUCUUUUUUUCUUCUUCUUCUUCUCUCGAGAUAUUUUCACGCGCAGGUGUUUUACCACAAAAUUGCUUUUCGACGCAAUGUUGUGUUUGUCUGACGCAACAACAACAACAACAACAACAACAACAACAACAACAACAACAAC